rnacentral:lncRNA from 1 species
CUCACAUCCCUCCGCCACUCAUCAGGUUAAUUGCAGAUUUCCUUUUUCCAAUUUGUUCGCACCCCACAAACCACCCUCCACUCCCCACCAGUAUCUGACCAAAAUAUAGCUCCCUUCCUGAAUAUCGCACCGCCUGCCACAGGCUGCAAUUGUCACAACCUGUGACCUCCCUGCCAACUUUUCCUCCAGCCACCAGUCCUCUUGGGGACCUGCCUCCUCGCUAUGCUUUUGCAUCUCCAAUUCCUUUGGCCAGAAGUCUCCCCCCUCCCACUCCACGUGAUUCAUCCUUAGAUACCCUAGUUACACACUGGUGAAUCCUUGCAGGUCCCCACCCCAGUCCCAGUGUCUCUUUCCCUAUUGCAUCCACAGCAGCUGGGACUUGCCCUUGUCCUAUGUGUCACUUGUCCCUACAUACAGUUGCCUCCCCUACCUACCAGACUCUAGCUUCUUGAGAGUGCUGGCUGGGUCUUGUUCUCUCUGUCCCCCAAACACAUAGUACCUGACACAGUAGUCAUCAGAAAAAAAGGAAAGAAAAAAAGAAGAAAGAAAAGUGAACAAAUGGAAGAUUUGAGUGGCUGCUGGAUAUAACGAAGGAGCAGGGGUAUUGGUAAUUCAGUUGAGACGCCUUCUUGGAGGCCGCAAUGACAAGGGUUAGAUGUCAGGCAGAAAAGAUUUAGUGCAGUGAGAAGACUUCAGGAAGACCAGAGUGUUGAAGUACAUUAAUAUAACAGACAUUGAACACCUAUUGUCAGGCCUCAUGUUGGGCACCAGGGACCUCGGUCUGCACUCAGAUUGCAUCCUUUGUAGCAAAGAAGAAAGACAAGGUAGGCAAUGCCAGUACAGAGUACCAAGUGUCACAUGGUGAGCACAAGAUGUGACCUUACAGAGGAGCACCUGCAGCCUCUGG